UUCGCCCUUAGAGUUUGAUCCUGGCUCAGAGCGAACGCUGGCGGCAGGCUUAACACAUGCAAGUCGAGCGGGCGUAGCAAUACGUCAGCGGCAGACGGGUGAGUAACGCGUGGGAACGUACCUUUUGGUUCGGAACAACACAGGGAAACUUGUGCUAAUACCGGAUAAGCCCUUACGGGGAAAGAUUUAUCGCCGAAAGAUCGGCCCGCGUCUGAUUAGCUAGUUGGUGAGGUAACGGCUCACCAAGGCGACGAUCAGUAGCUGGUCUGAGAGGAUGAUCAGCCACAUUGGGACUGAGACACGGCCCAAACUCCUACGGGAGGCAGCAGUGGGGAAUAUUGGACAAUGGGGGCAACCCUGAUCCAGCCAUGCCGCGUGAGUGAUGAAGGCCCUAGGGUUGUAAAGCUCUUUUGUGCGGGAAGAUAAUGACGGUACCGCAAGAAUAAGCCCCGGCUAACUUCGUGCCAGCAGCCGCGGUAAUACGAAGGGGGCUAGCGUUGCUCGGAAUCACUGGGCGUAAAGGGUGCGUAGGCGGAUCUUUAAGUCAGAGGUGAAAGCCUGGAGCUCAACUCCAGAACUGCCUUUGAUACUGGGGAUCUUGAGUUCGGGAGAGGUGAGUGGAACUGUGAGUGUAGAGGUGAAAUUCGUAGAUAUUCGCAAGAACACCAGUGGCGAAGGCGGCUCACUGGCCCGAUACUGACGCUGAGGCACGAAAGCGUGGGGAGCAAACAGGAUUAGAUACCCUGGUAGUCCACGCCGUAA
rnacentral:rRNA from 1 species